GGACCCAGGCCCUAUGGGGCGCAGCAGGCGAGAAAACUUUGCAAUGUGCGAAAGCACGACAAGGUUAGUCCGAGUGAUUUCUGCUAAAGAAAUCUUUUGCAAGUCGUAAAACCACUAGUGAAUAAGGGGUGGGCAAGUUCUGGUGUCAGCCGCCGCGGUAAAACCAGCACCUCAAGUGGUCAGGAGGANUAUUGGGCCUAAAGCAUCCGUAGCCGGCUCUGUUAGUUUUCGGUUAAAUCCAUGCGCUCAACGUAUGGGCUGCCGAGAAUACUGCAUAGCUAGGGAGUGGGAGAGGUAGACGGUACUCGGUAGGAAGGGGUAAAAUCCUUUGAUCUAUCGAUGACCACCUGUGGCGAAGGCGGUCUACCAGAACACGUUCGACGGUGAGGGAUGAAAGCUGGGGGAGCAAACCGGAUUAGAUACCCGGGUAGUCCCAGCUGUAAACGAUGCAGACUCGAUGAUGCAUUGGCAUAUAGCCAGUGCAGUGUCGCAGGGAAGCCGUUAAGUCUGCCGCCUGGGAAGUACGUACGCAAGUAUGAAACUUAAAGGAAUUGGCGGGGGAGCACCACAAGGGGUGAAGCCUGCGGUUCAAUUGGAGUCAACGCCAGAAAUCUUACCCGGAGAGACAGCAGAAUGAAGGUCAAGCUGAAGACUUUACCAGACAAGCUGAGAGGUGGUGCAUGGCCGUCGCCAGCUCGUGCCGUGAGAUGUCCUGUUAAGUCAGGUAACGAGCGAGAUCCCUGCCAUUAGUUGCUAUCAUUAUUCUCAGGAAUAGUGGAGCGAACUAGUGGGACUGCCGUUGUUAAAACGGAGGAAGGAAGGGGCUACGGCAGGUCAGUAUGCCCCGAAACUCUGGGGCCACACGCGGGCUGCAAUGGUAGUGACAAUGAGUUCCAAACUCGAAAGAGAGUGGCAAUCUCCAAACACUACCACAGUUAUGACUGAGGGCUGUAACUCGCCCUCACGAAUAUGGAAUCCCUAGUAACCGCGCGUCAUUACCACGCGGUGAAUACGUCCCUGCUCCUUGCACACACCGCCCGUCGUUUCAUCGAAGUUUGCUUUUAGCGAGGUGAUGUUUAAUUGGCAUUAUCGAACUU
rnacentral:rRNA from 1 species